AAGUCUAUAGUUUAAAAAAAACAUUUAAAUUGCAAUUAAAAAAUAUUGCUUUAGCAAUUAAUCUUA
rnacentral:tRNA from 1 species